GAUACUCAUACUUCUUUUAUGGAUAAGGCUAACAAAAAUGCAGUUAACAAAUAUGAACUCCUGAGGCCUUCCUAUUGUCAUUAAGUACACGUGUGGGGAUCUAAUAAUAGGUCUCUGAUCAGUCAUAGUAUGCAUGUGUUCCUUGCCUUAAUAGUUGCACACACUCAAUAUGAAAAUACAUGUGCAUUUGCUCAGAAAAGAAAGUAAUAGAAUAAAUCAAAUGCAAAAACAAGUUUUUUUUUUAAUAUUUUUUUUUUUGAUCAAAAUAUUUCCCUUCCCCCCAACUUAAACAUUGCAUUGUCCUCAAUGUAAAAAAAAAUGCAAGAAAAUUAUAUAUUAGAGACAAUAGAGAAAAUAAUAGAUAGAAGAAGAAUACCUUGAGC
rnacentral:lncRNA from 1 species